GACGAACGCUGGCGGCGUGCUUAACACAUGCAAGUCGAGCGACUGCAUUCUUUUCGGAGGGUGUAUGGAGCGGCGAACGGGUGGGUAACACGUGAGUAAUCUGCCUUUGGCUUGGGAAUAACUUCGGGAAAUCGGGGCUAAUGCCUGAUGUUUACUGUCUGCUGCAUGGUGGGUGGUGGAAAGAUUUUUUGGCCAGGGAUGAGCUCGCGGUCUAUCAGCUUGUUGGGGGGUAAUGGCUUACCAAGGCUUUGACGGGUAGCCGCC
rnacentral:rRNA from 1 species